UCCCUCUCUCUUUAUCCUCUUCACUUCACCGAAUGUACUACUCUGUAUCAAGCUCGCAGUACCAAAUCCAUCCGUGAACUAGAGUUUUCAAUUGUCUUCCAUAACCAAUCAGUGCAAGCACUUUCAAUUUGGGUAACUUUGUUGAGCUCGCACCACCAACAUCCUAAUUCGGCUGAUGCAUUGGCUUGGUGGCAAUAAAUUAGAAAUUAGGGCUUGAAAGUUUUUAACAAAAGCAGAGCAGAUGGGAUUCUGGGACUUGAUCAACUCAACAACUGAAGCCGUGAAGCGAAACGCACCCGCUCCAACGGCCAUCAUAGAUCCAUGCAAAGCCUCCUAUGGUUAUAGCUCUGCCGUCAUUGGCAACAUCGAUAACGCCGUCAAAGUCAACGGGAUGCAGGCGCUCAAUGACUACAUGCCCAGCAAGGAACCCGGUCAAGGAUCAGCCUUUUCGCUUCCAAGUUCACCCAAAAUGCUGCUCGUCAUGCUCUCCGGGAAUUGAUCCCUGGUGGAAAAACAAUGGCUGAAAUUAUUUCUGAGACAAUGACUGAUGUGAAAUCUGAGAAUCUCAGCAAACAAAAGAUGAUGGCAGUGACCCAAGUUACAGGAGGUGGUGGUGGAGGGAAAGUCUCCGCUGGCAAGAAUUUGCUUGACCGAGUAGAAAUGCAAAGCAGAGGUUUGGAAAUGGGGUCAGCUGACAAGGGAAACUUUGCAGAAUCAACUGCAAAUCAGAUACCAGAAGAUGUGCUUCGCAUUUUCAUGAUGAAGGAGUUUAUGGGCAGGCGUUUUGCUGAUGACUUGAUACUUCCUCAGAUUAAGCAUGGCAUCAAAACCAAGUAAAUGGCUGCAAUAAGGUCUUUGAUCAUUAAAAGUAAAGCUUUGGUCUUUCCUACUGAUGGAGGAAUAUGCUUUGCUGAUUUCUGUAGUCUACUCUAGUGUGUUUCAGCAAUAUAUAAAUAGUACUAGUAGUUUUUUCUUGAAAAAACAAUUUGGGUGAAAGCUGGAGUUUAGAGUUUGAAGCUUGGGGAAAACGAGAAGUUAGGGAUUGAAGGCAUAGUUUGAGCUUUUUCAGCCUCCACUUCAGCCAUCUUUGCCUGCUAAGCCCAUCCAGCCUUUCUGGUAGCUAGAAGAGCAUUGGCUUCAGCAACAUCAGCCUCCCUUUGAUUCUCAGCAAAAGGUUAGAGAGCUUGAGAGAAGAUUAACUGAAGAGCAGGAACAUGACUUAAGGCUAUUUCACUUCGUCAGAAGGUGACGCUUACUCUCUUUCAUAUGUUUCUUCCACAAAGAAUAUUAGAAAGUAUGUGUACAAAAAACCAAACUAAGAUACCCAAACUAAUUCGAAGUAUCUAUGUAAAAUAAUUUUGUGUUCUACCAAUUGAAAGAUAUUAGAGGGAUGAUAUUGGAAUUGCGUUAGUGUAGAUGCAAAUAAUGUUGGGAACACAGGGCUUGCUAGCAUUAUUCAUACUUUUCUUGUAGCAUAGUUGGUCAAACACAUAACUUCAUGCCAAACAUCUUAAUUUUAGAAGUUAGACAUGAUAAUAUAUUGAAGAAUAGCUAAAUCCAAAUUAAACUCAAACUUGCUAGACUAUUGUCUACUGCUUUAGUGCCUAAACGAGUCAGAUUUUGUCCACAAAGUGCAUUUCCAAAUAAUGUUGGACAUUUUUAGACUAACUCGGGGCACUAAAUAGUUAUAAUAGUAUUAAAGCAGUACCUAGUUUUAAUUGCAGCAAAUGAUGUGAAAAUUUUAAUAACUGGAUUUGUCAAACAUUUGUGCUUGUUAGGGUUUUUUUUUUUUUUUUUUUUUUAUAGUCUAAGUAAUCAAUGGUUGAAUGUUCUUGCACUUGAUUAAUUUUGUUGAAGAAACUCUCUACUUUGCAAUGAUGUCUACUAUUUUCUAACAUUUUUUAGUUUGACAAUGGCAGUAGUAGCAUAAAAAAUAGUAGCAACCUCAUUAGCAUCUAGAUUCAAGGUUAGUAUUUCAAUUUUUUCCGUACUUUUAUGCUAUGCAGUGGGCUAUAAUUGUGAAGUAUGCAUAUUUUUGGCUUCUUCAAUUUUUGUUAAUGCUUAGAUAAGCUUGAAUAGGCUUGUAUGAUUUGACCUUCUGCUUGAUAGCAUGUAAUGAACAAAAUAAGCUCAGUUGUUCGCUAUUUUGGUCUAUGAUGUUGUGUUUAAAAUUUUCCAACCUAAUAUUAUUCUGCUUAUCCAUAAAAUGGUUGUGUAGUUAAGUACUAGAGCACCACACUCUAUUCUUAUGUUCUGGAUUUGUAACUCUAUGACAUGGACAAAAAUUGGAUGACACUUGAUAAUAGAAAGGAUGAGUCUUAGAAACUUGCAGUGGCUACUUUCCUUAAAUUUGCAUAUUCUUAGAAGGCAAAACAUGAAAUUCUGACAUGAAAUUGAGAAGGAUAUUAAUCAAGAUGGGGAUGAAAAAAGGGGUAGUGAUAUUGAAAAUUUAAAUGAUAUGUUCAAUGACAUAGGCACUGCACAAUGGAGGGGGGAGGGAAUUGGUUCAAUCGGGAAGAACAUAGUGGAGAGAGGUUGAAUAUGAAUGAAAGUAAAAUUGAUACCUUCAUAUGAUUGUUGGAAAAUGCAAAACAAGAGCUCUAUCCAGGCAACCAGUUUUCCUCCAAGCUGAUUAAGAACUUGCAGGAGCAGCAACUUGAAAUAAGAGGGCUAUAUGAGAAUUUGAUUGCCCAAAUGAAAGAGUCACUUAAGACAGUUUAUGCUGUCGCUUAAGGGAGCUUAGCUGUCACUUGCUUAUGUUUUGAAUUUGCUGGCUAUGCAAAUAUGUCUAAUAAAUAAGCUAUUGGAAAUAAUUAAUGAUGUUCUCUUUAUUUUGGUUGAAACUCUAUUUUGACUGAUUCUUUUACUUCUUAUCAAGUUGCCAGUAGUUGGAGUCUUGUUGUGUAUGACUAUUCAUUCAAAUUUAGUCGUAAAAUGUUGUAAUAGCAUAUUUUUUGACUAAAGUCUAUUCUUAUGCAUAUAAUACUUUAUUUUCAAUGCAGUCCAAUUUGAUAUUGAUCAUGAGGAGGCCGUUGGAUAUGAUGAUAAAGAUGGUUGAAGUCUGACAUUAGUGGUGCAAUCUAUGCUUUAGCCUAGAAAUCUAGUACUCUAUUUUUUUGGGAAGGAUAUGUAUUAGCCAUUGAUGCUUGAACUGUGGGCUUUGGGACCCAAUAUUUUUGGUUGACUUCUAGUUCGAUGAAUUUAUAGAUGUUUGUGGCCCUAUAUAUAUUAAUUUGUGACUUCAUUCUACAUUAA